UACAGAGGUCCCAAGCGUUGUUCGGAUUCACUGGGCGUAAAGGGUGCGUAGGUGGCCAGGUACGUUCGGUGUGAAAGCUCGGAGCUUAACUCCGAAAUGUCAUUGAAUACUAUCUGGCUGGAGGGUCGGAGGGGAGACUGGAAUUCUCGGUGUAGCAGUGAAAUGCGUAGAUAUCGAGAGGAACACCAGUGGCGAAGGCGAGUCUCUGGACGACUCCUGACACUGAGGCACGAAAGCUAGGGGAGCAAACAGG
rnacentral:rRNA from 1 species